CAUCAGAGCUCAUGGUUUACCUGAACCUCAGUUCUGACACAGGACAGGCAGAGGCGGGAAGAUGUGGGAUGCUCUGAAGUGCUUGAAGCAUAACUGAGUACUGGAGAAUCCUGUCAGAAGCAGACGGUGCAGGACUGUGAAUGUCCUCUAGCCAAAGGCAACCAGCAGACACCGGCAAAAUGCACAAAAUUGGGUUUAUUGACUCAGUGCAACAUGGGCAUACAUCACAGAGAAUAUGGUACAACCAAUGUUCCCUGUAAGGAGAGACUGGGAGUUUGAACUUAACUUUGAUUAUCUGAGAGUGAAACUCUGAUUGGACUCUGUCAGAAAGCGAAGCAUCACACUAAGUUGUAUUGAGAAGGCGGUGGAAUGAAGCAGGCUAAAGAUGUGACUCACGGAGGAGGCUCAACCACACUAACAGGGCAGAUCUGAUUACGGAAAGAUCAUCUUUCCUGUCUUCAUCUAUCAUGGUCUUGCCUAAUAAUGGUCUUAUGAAAUGGCUUAUGUUCAACUGGAGGAAAGCAAAACAUUGCUCUGAGUGCCUGCCUGCCUGCCCAGUGCCCGGAUGCCAGAGGCUGCACCUUUCCCCUCAGCCACUCCUCUGCUCUCUUUCCUGGGAGUUGGGCCUAUUCCGGACAUCUGCUGAGUCAGCAGAUGGAAAACCGAUCCAGAGGAGAAUCUCCCAGGAAAACACCCUGAGAGAAAUAGCACCGAGCUAUGAUGUAAAUAAGUGAUAGCAUGCUGGGAGCUGCUUGGAGUAAGGGGAAAGUUCUAGACUCUAGAAUCUAAAACACUA